rnacentral:rRNA from 1 species
GUAGGUGGCAAGCGUUGUCCGGAAUUAUUGGGCGUAAAGCGCGCGCAGGCGGUUCUUUAAGUCUGAUGUGAAAGCCCACGGCUCAACCGUGGAGGGUCAUUGGAAACUGGAGAACUUGAGUACAGAAGAGGAAAGCGGAAUUCCACGUGUAGCGGUGAAAUGCGUAGAGAUGUGGAGGAACACCAGUGGCGAAGGCGGCUUUCUGGUCUGUAACUGACGCUGAGGCGCGAAAGCGUGGGGAGCAAACAGGAUUAGAUACCCUGGUAGUCCACGCCGUAAACGAUGAGUGCUAAUUGUUAGGGGGUUUCCGCCCCCCUUAGUGCUGCAGCUAACGCAUUAAGCACUCCGCCUGGGAGUACGGCCGCAAGGCUG